UACGUAGGGUGCAAGCGUUAAUCGGAAUUACUGGGCGUAAAGCGUGCGCAGGCGGUUUGCUAAGAGAGAUGUGAAAUCCCCGGGCUUAACCUGGGAACUGCGUUUCUAACUGGCAGGCUUGAGUGUGGCAGAGGGGGUGGAAUUCCGACGUGUAGCAGUGAAAUGCGUAGAGAUGUGGAGGAACACCGAUGGCGAAGGCAGCCCCCUGGGCUAACACUGACGCUCAUGCACGAAGCGUGGGAGCAACAGG
rnacentral:rRNA from 1 species